GAUGAACGCUGGCGGCGUGCCUAAUACAUGCAAGUCGAGCGAACAGAUGAGGAGCUUGCUCCUCUGACGUUAGCGGCGGACGGGUGAGUAACACGUGGAUAACCUACCUAUAAGACUGGGAUAACUUCGGGAAACCGGAGCUAAUACCGGAUAAUAUAUUGAACCGCAUGGUUCAAUAGUGAAAGACGGUUUUGCUGUCACUUAUAGAUGGAUCCGCGCCGCAUUAGCUAGUUGGUAAGGUAACGGCUUACCAAGGCAACGAUGCGUAGCCGACCUGAGAGGGUGAUCGGCCACACUGGAACUGAGACACGGUCCAGACUCCUACGGGAGGCAGCAGUAGGGAAUCUUCCGCAAUGGGCGAAAGCCUGACGGAGCAACGCCGCGUGAGUGAUGAAGGUCUUCGGAUCGUAAAACUCUGUCAUUAGGGAAGAACAAAUGUGUAAGUAACUAUGCAUGUCUUGACGGUACCUAAUCAGAAAGCCACGGCUAACUACGUG
rnacentral:rRNA from 1 species